rnacentral:rRNA from 1 species
UCGGGAAUUUUGGGCAAUGGGGGGAACCCUGAUCCAGCGAUGCCGCGUGUGUGAAGAAGGCCUGCGGGUUGUAAAGCACUUUAGUUGGGGAGGAAAGUUUUGGCGUGAAUAACAUCAGAAGAUGACGUUACCCAAAGAAUAAGCACCGGCAAACUCUGUGCCAGCAGCCGCGGUAAUACAGAGGGUGCAAGCGUUAAUCGGACUUACUGGGCGUAAAGGGUGCGUAGGUGGGUAUAUAAGUUAGUUGUGAAAGGCCUGGGCUUAACCUGGGAACUGCAAUUAAGACUGUGUAUCUAGAGUUGAGUAGAGGGGAGCGGAAUUUCCGGUGUAGCGGUGAAAUGCGUAGAUAUCGGAAGGAACAUCAGUUGCGAAGGCGGCUCUCUGGACUCAAACUGACACUGAGGCACGAAAGCGUGGGUAGCGAACAGGAUUAGAUACCCCCGUAGUCCCUGAGCGGGCUGGCAAGGCGCAU